rnacentral:lncRNA from 1 species
UCCUCUGAUGGGCGGUUUUCUGGAUUGCUUCUCAAGGGGCAGAAAGGCGAGAAGGGAGAUGGAGGCGUCCAAGGGAAUCCCGGGAUGCCGGGGCGCGACGGCCGGCCUGGAGAGAUCUGUGUGGUGGGGCCGAAGGGACAGAAGGGUGAUCCAGGGCUCGUUGGACCCGAGGGGCUAGCCGGUGAGCCAGGCCCCCCGGGGUCACCAGGUCCUCCAGGGAUAGGACUUCCAGGGAAAACGGUAAGGAUUUGGUUCCAUUGCUUCUCCUCGCUUCCUAGCGCCCCUCCUUGGGCA